GCCAUAUAUUAGCCUAUAUUGACCCAAGUGCCUUGAGCUGAAUAAACUGAUUAACAGCACAAUCCUAACCACGCCUACUCUUGAAUUCAGUGGAGCUUAUUUCCAAGUAAGUGGGUUUAGAAUUUGGUGCAACAGGGCAAUCCUAAUACUGCUUAGUCAAAAGUAAACUCCACUCACUUCAAUGAGGUGUACAGCAAAGUAAAUGUGCAGAGGGUUACAUCCUAAAUUGCCUAGGUAUACAAAUCAAAUCCGUUUAUUGUGAGGACCAUGCCUGUACACAAACAUUAACACAACAAUAGUUAAAAACAUAUUAAAAUUCGUUACAUACUACGCCAACAAAACCUUCAUCCCACAAAAUAGAAAGAGAGGGAAAACGAGCAACGAGUUAAACAGACGAUGAAGGGGUCUUUACAUUGUCAUCCAUAAGUCUUUCCCUGGCUUUCAUGGCCUUCAUCACAAAAACCGCUACCACAUGGGUAAUACGUGGGUUUGCAUCAACUAACAAAAAUUUUACUCUAUCUUCAGGAUUGGUUAUAGAGUUGGGUAUAAUUUGCAGCAAUGCGUCUCUAAAGCCCGAGUAGAUGGGGCAAUAGAGGAGGUAAUGUGUAAGAUCCUCUUUAAUUUUCAUAAGGCAAGGGCAUAAACGAUGUUCUACUGGGGUUUUUGUGAAUCUACCGGUCAGGUAUGCAGUUGGCAGUGUUUGAAACCGUGCCAUAGUGAAAGCUCUCCGAAGGGUGGGAUCAGUGAUCUCCACCAAGUAGUUGGCACAGAUUUUGACUGCUUUUACUCGGGAAACCAGUAGGAAAACCCAGAGUUUUUAUCUUUGUGGAGUCCAAAAAGGCGUCUUUUUCAAAGAUCCAUUCCCGAACUUUAUCAGGGCUCCACAAUUUAAGGAUAUUAAACUCAGGUAGAUUAUAUCUGGAUAGGAUAUCUAGUAGGUUUUUAUGCCAAGUAGUAUUAUUUUGUAAUGAUACAAAAGCUUGUUUGGCCAAUAAGGUGUUCGGGGCAUCUGUGAGGUUGGUGAAAAGCGCAGGAAUCUUAAGUGGGCCCUGGCAGACACAGAAGGUAAUCCUACUUCCACUCUUAGGAGAGCUGCCGGAGUACUCUGAGGGAGGCCUAGAAUUCUUCUGAGGUAAAAAUUUUGGAAGAUUUCAAGCCGUUCUAACAGCUUCUGAUUCCAUCCCCAGAGUUCUACUCCAUAUAGCAUCUGGGGAAUCACUUUUCCAACAAAAGCUUUUAAUGCCGGGAUCACCAGUUGCCCUCCCCUCGAAUAAAAAAGCUGAGCAGAGCACCGAUUGUCCUACGUGUUAGAAGGGCUACAGUCUUGAAGUGGGCAAGCCAGCUAGAUGUAGCUUGGAAAGUGAUACCAAGAUAUUUAAAAAAAAGACACUGUUCAAUUUUGUGUUCAUCUAAAGACCAUCUAAAUGUGUGGCGAGCUCUAGUAAAUACCACAAUUUUUGUUUUGUCAUAAUUUAUCUUUAGAGAGUUUUGGAAACAAUAAGCUGCGAGCCCCUCCAGCAUGCUAUGUAGGCCCCUUCGAGUAAGUGCCAUGACAGCCAUGUCAUCAGCAUAUAGUAAUAUGUUCAGGUGUUUGCCUUCCAGGGCAGGAGCUGAUGACUUAUACUUUGCCAUAUGUUGAACAAUGUCAUUUAUAUAGAAAUUAAAGAGGAACGGCGCUAGCAAACAGCCCUGUUUAACCCCUUUCCCCAGUGGCAGUGGGUCAGUAUAGUUGCCUGACAUCCCAGUUCUGAUUUUAACUGUGGUGUCUGAAUGUAACUCUCUAAGUAUUUUGAGAAGUCGUCUAUCAAUAUCUGUUUCAUAUAAUUUUUGCCAUAAUUUGUCCCUACAGAUUGAAUCAAAAGCGGAUGUGAGAUCUACGAAAGCCACAAAAAGUUUGCUCUUAUGUACCUUUGUAUACUUAUCUAUCAUUGUCUGUAGUACCAGACAAUGGCCUGUUGUACUAUGGCCCUUUCUAAACCCUGCCUGUUCCGGAUUAAGCAGGUUAGAGUGGUCAGCCCAGUCAACCAGUUUAUUUAGCAGGUAGCGAGUGUAAAGUUUAUACACAAUGUCCAGGAGACUUAUGGGGCGAUAGUUUGAGGGAUCUUGGGGGUCUCCUUCUUAUAGAUGGGGGCUACCAGGCUCAGUUUCCAGUUUUCUGGGAUUUUGCAUAUAUCAUUUAUUACCGUAAAAGUUGGGCCAAAAUAGCAGCCCACCACUGGGCAUUUAGUUUAAACACCUCAGGAGGGAUCAUAUCCUCACCGGGAGCUUUGCCAUUCUUGAGUGUUUUAAUUAGCUGUAAACAUUCUGAUUCGGUAACAGGAUCCCAGCCCAUUAAUAGAUCGUUUUUAAGAGGAGGAAACUGGCUCGGUUUAGCAAUGUUUGGAGCUGUAUAUAGCCGGGAAAAGUGUUGGUACCAUAAGUUAGAUGAGAUACUGUUGGUUACAAUUUUCCCUUUGGGUGAGACUCCUGGGCAAUUAUUUCCCAGAACUUUUUGUCAUCCCGCAAUUUGAUCGCUUUGUCAAGUGCCUCCCAUUGUUCCUUUCUGUAGAGGGAUUUCUUAAAUUUUAGAGUAUUUUUAUAAUGAGAACGCCACCUGUGCAGGUUUUCCAAUGAGGACAGGGUCCCUUCCUGUUUUACCUUAUUUUGUAAUUUCCUGAGCAAAGAUCUUAGAUUCCUACAGUCUUUGUCGAACCAGGCCCUCGAGUUGUUAUGUUUUUUGAGAGGGUUGGAAUUCGUGAGUAGUGGGAAGAGCGACUCUGAGACCUGCUGAAAUGUUGAAAAGGGGUCAGAAAUAGAUGAGAUACACUGGUCUCUCAAGGCCAGUAAGUCUGAUGAGUGCAGGUGUAAUUUGAUUUUAGAUUCCAGGUCGCUGUUCCAUUUACGCCUACGAAGGGCCAGAGUUGGAGGUGGGUCUGCACAGUGAUUGCGGUAUUGCGGAUCCUCCACACCACGGGGAAUUAGUGAAAUUGAUAUAGGAAGAUGAUCACUCUCAAUUCUAUUGAAAAUCCUGAAGCCCUGUGACCUCUCCAAGAGUUUUGGGGAGACCAGGAUAUAAUCAAUAACGCUCGCACCUCUAGGUCCAAGAAAAGAAAAGAAACCCCCUGACCUAUCCUUAUGGGUACCAUGCAAGUUAUACAAAUUAUGUUUGAAGGCAGUCUCCAUUAAUGUAAUGCCUGCCUUAUUCAAGACCUUAUCGUCUGAGGACCAGGGAAUAAACCAAUCUGCCUCUGGCAGGAACUGAGAUUUAGAGCAGUACGUGUUAAUGUCAUUUCCUAUCCUGGCGUUGAAAUCACCUGCCAGCAGGAUAUCCAUGCCAGGGAAUUCUAGUUCAGCCUUCUCCAAACAUAGCUCUAAAUCUUCCCAGAGUUGUGACGACUGGGGAGGGGUGCCUAUGGGAGGGAUAUAUAUAUUAAAGCAAAGGAAAUCUCCUCCUUCACUGCUAGAAAUAAGUGAGAUUUGUAAGUUGUUACUCUUCACCCACUGCUGUUGCCGGGCCUUGCAUUUUAGCUUGGUAGAAACAAAAGUGACUAAACCACCACUAGGUCGGCCUCGGGAUUUUGGUUUUAUCGCAGGGGUAGCAAAGGCUUCGUAUCCCUGUAAAGAGGGGACAUGGAGAUCUAGACACCAUGUCUCCUGUAGACAUAAAAUCUGAAAUUUUGUAAGGAAAUCCAGAAGGUCGACGUCACCCUGCUUAGAUAGCCAUCCCGCCACAUUCCAGGAUAGAAUGUGGAAAUAGGGUGAUGGUGGAAAUAGUGGUAGUCAAUCUCUUUUCCGAUGGUUUGAGGCUCCUGAGCUGGGCUCCUCCUCUAUCUGCCCUGCUUGGUGGUUCCGGGUUUGAGGUCGCUGGUCCCUAGAUAGGUGUGGUAACUUUAACUGGGGGGCUAAUAGGUUGAUUUGGCCCAGAGGAUCUUCGAUGACACCGUUACAAAUAUCAUGUUGUUCAGCUGAUGUAUCAUGAUGUUCAGCUGGUUUUCGCAGAGCAAGGAUUUUGCCGACCCGUAUAGGCUGUAUAGAUAGCAGGUCGACAACUGCAUCUUGCGUCGGUACUGCAAUGAGGUGUACAGCAAAGUAAAUGUGCAGAGGGUUACAUCCUAAAUUGCCUAGGUAUACUGUAAAUAUAUGGGCAAGAUCUGGCCAGCAUUAAACAUUUUAAAAUCCCAUUGAUUUCGUGGGGGAAAUGUUUAGCAUUCCCAUUGAAAUAAAUGGCAUAUAAAAGGCCUUAAUUUUUAUAUCCCACUGAUCUGAAAGGGGAAAUGAAGCAGCUGCUGAAUACUGGAACACUUGGCAGCUUUGAAAUGCUCUGAUCCAAAGGGCUUGUUUUUAUUUGACAAAUGACUUUAAAAGCUGCCUUACUGUAAAUCCAAGACCAGGAGGAGAAUAAUUGCAUGGUGGGAAGAAUGGAUCCCAGGCUGUGAAGCAUCAUGGCCAAUGUACCAAGAUGGCCCUGAGCAGAUUUACAAGGAGGCAGCCUUCAAGCUGCAACUAAAACUGUCCAUCUUCGCUGCCUGAGCAAAACAACUGCAAGACAAACUUGUGCAGGUUGUGCGGCUGCCUUGGGGGUGGGGAAGCCUGAUCUACAUCCCAUUUCACAUCUCACCAACUGUGCUGACUCAAAGUGGGAGAAUUUCCUCGGAGGCUGCAGGCACAGCUACAGCAUCUCAACUUAGCAAAGUCUCUUGAUCGGUCAAAGAGAUGCCAUGCAUUGCGACUUGCUGUUAUUUUUAUUAAUUAUAGUUAAGUAAUUAUUUACUGUAGUUGUUAAGAGUAAACUGUUUAAUUAUUAUUUGCUGAUACUUAAU